GUACUCAGAAAGGCAAAACAUCUUGCUCAAGGGCUCACAACUAUUUAGGUGGUAGAGCUAAGAUAUGAACCUACCUCUGACACCAAAGUGCACUUCAACACCCUACUAUCACCCAACAAAGAAUUCUGGCCACAGAAUCACCUUGCUGCGGUAUUCCUGACUGAAUCAAGAUACGCUGGGGAAGAGGCAGCUGAAGACAGCCCGGGUUCUGACCUCGGCCCUGCUGCCUAACUGCCUGGCGACUUCAGGUUUUCUAAUCACAGAAUUACUGGAGCGUCAAGAAGCGCCUGCAUGCUUGGAAGGGCUUCCAGGCAGAUGAACACACCUCAGCACCGGGUGGCAGUUUCCCAGGGUGCAACCCGGACCGGCUCUGGGUCACACUGACAAGGAGGGGCUGAGUGAUGCUCCUUCUCUAACUCAAGAGACGUAGGCGUGAAGAACAGGGCACAAGAUCCCGAGGAGCAAAGGGUCAUCAGCUGUCCCCAUCCAGCAGAAUCUCACAGCGCCACUGGCUGACCACAGUGCACCCCUCCUGAGCUGAAGUGUUCCCAUUCUCUCCGCAGCCUCUCCGACUCCCCAGGCUGGGUUGGGUGCUCCUCCCUCUCAUCCCACAGCGCUAUGUCUCAUGUCUUCUGGAAAACUUGCCAAUCCCUAGUGAUAACAAGGAUUAACAAUUUCCAGAGACAGCCCGUACAUAGAGGGAAAGUUUACUGAAAAAAAUGAAGAGGGGUCAGGGCAAGGCGAGGAGCAAGAAGCAUCCCCAAGGAAACAGAGAAGACCAGUACAACUGUACCUCUUUGCCAGCUGCACCAUCCGUACCAGUCUCCUGGGGUGGGAGUGUACAGCUCAGAGACUGCCACACUGCAAGACGAAGGGGCUGGAUGGACGGAAGUAAGAGGCG
rnacentral:antisense_RNA from 1 species